rnacentral:rRNA from 1 species
CUACGGGCUGCUGCAGUGGGGAAUUUUGCGCAAUGGGCGAAAGCCUGACGCAGCAACGCCGCGUGAGCGAUGAAGGUUUUCGGAUCGUAAAGCUCUGUCAGAUGGGAAGAAGAACAUGACGGUACCAUCAGAGGAAGCCCCGGCUAACUCCGUGCCAGCAGCCGCGGUAAUACGGAGGGGGCGAGCGUUGUUCGGAAUUAUUGGGCGUAAAGCGUAUGUAGGUGGUUUGACAAGUCAGACGUGUAAGCCCACGGCUCAACCGUGGAAUUGCGUUUGAAACUAUCUAACUUGAGUGCAGAAGAGGAAAGCGGAAUUUCCAGUGUAGCGGUGAAAUGCGUUGAUAUUGGGAAGAACACCUGUGGCGAAGGCGGCUUUCUGGUCUGCUACUGACACUGAGAUACGAAAGCCAGGGGAGCAAACGGGAUUAGAUACCCGGGUAGUC